GACGAACGCUGGCGGCGUGCUUAACACAUGCAAGUCGAACGGAAAGGCCUUUUCGGAGGUACUCGAGUGGCGAACGGGUGAGUAACACGUGGGUGAUCUGCCCUGCACUCUGGGAUAAGCCUGGGAAACUGGGUCUAAUACCGGAUAGGACCGCACUUUAGUGUGUGUGGUGGAAAGUUUUUUCGGUGUAGGAUGAGCCCGCGGCCUAUCAGCUUGUUGGUGGGGUAAUGGCCUACCAAGGCGGCGACGGGAAGCCGGACUGAGAGGUUGGUCGGCCACAUUGGGACUGAGAUACGGCCCAGACUCCUACGGGAGGCAGCAGUGGGGAAUAUUGCACAAUGGGCGCAAGCCUGAUGCAGCGACGCCGCGUGGGGGAUGACGGCCUUCGGGUUGUAAACUCCUUUCGCCAGGGACGAAGCGUUUUGUGACGGUACCUGGAGAAGAAGCACCGGCUAACUACGUG
rnacentral:rRNA from 1 species